rnacentral:rRNA from 1 species
GANCCCAAACCCAAACUUCCUUGAGUGAGUCUUCUGAGUAACCGAUUAAAUCAAUCAAAACUUUCAACAACGGAUCUCUUGGUUCUGGCAUCGAUGAAGAACGCAGCGAAAUGCGAUAAGUAAUGUGAAUUGCAGAAUUCAGUGAAUCAUCGAAUCUUUGAACGCACAUUGCGCCCGCCAGUAUUCUGGCGGGCAUGCCUGUUCGAGCGUCAUUACAUCCCUCAAGCCCCCGGGCUUGGUGUUGGGGAUCGGCGAGCCUCAGCGCCCGCCGUCCCCUAAAUUUAGUGGCGGUCACGCUGUAACUUCCUCUGCGUAGUAGCACACUUAGCACUGGGAAACAGCGCGGCCACGCCGUAAAACCCCCCAACUUUUGAACGUUUGACCUCGAAUCAGGUAGGACUACCCGCUGAACUUAAGCAUAUCAAUAAGCGGAGGAA